rnacentral:rRNA from 1 species
GAUGAACGCUGGCGGCGUGCCUAAUACAUGCAAGUCGAGCGAACGGACGAGAAGCUUGCUUUUCUGAUGUUAGCGGCGGACGGGUGAGUAACACGUGGAUAACCUACCUAUAAGACUGGGAUAACUUCGGGAAACCGGAGCUAAUACCGGAUAAUAUUUUGAACCGCAUGGUUCAAAAGUGAAAGACGGUCUUGCUGUCACUUAUAGAUGGAUCCGCGCUGCAUUAGCUAGUUGGUAAGGUAACGGCUUACCAAGGCAACGAUGCAUAGCCGACCUGAGAGGGUGAUCGGCCACACUGGAACUGAGACACGGUCCAGACUCCUACGGGAGGCAGCAGUAGGGAAUCUUCCGCAAUGGGCGAAAGCCUGACGGAGCAACGCCGCGUGAGUGAUGAAGGUCUUCGGAUCGUAAAACUCUGUUAGUAGGGAAGAACAUAUGUGUAAGUAACUGUGCACAUCUUGACGGUACCUAAUCAGAAAGCCACGGCUAACCACGUG